rnacentral:rRNA from 1 species
AUUGAACGCUGGCGGCAUGCCUUACACAUGCAAGUCGAACGGCAGCACGGGUGCUUGCCCCUGGUGGCGAGUGGCGAACGGGUGAGUAAUACAUCGGAACAUGUCCUGUAGUGGGGGAUAGCCCGGCGAAAGCCGGAUUAAUACCGCAUACGAUCUACGGAUGAAAGCGGGGGACCUUCGGGCCUCGCGCUAUAGGGUUGGCCGAUGGCUGAUUAGCUAGUUGGUGGGGUAAAGGCCUACCAAGGCGACGAUCAGUAGCUGGUCUGAGAGGACGACCAGCCACACUGGGACUGAGACACGGCCCAGACUCCUACGGGAGGCAGCAGUGGGGAAUUUUGGACAAUGGGGGAAAGCCUGAUCCAGCAAUGCCGCGUGUGUGAAGAAGGCCUUCGGGUUGUAAAGCACUUUUGUCCGGAAAGAAAUCCUUGGCCCUAAUACGGUCGGGGGAUGACGGUACCGGAAGAAUAAGCACCGGCUAACUACGUG